GGGCUCCUGUGGCAUAAAUGACGUGCCGAGAGAGCGAGCGAACGCGCAGCCGGGAGAGCGGAGUCUCCUGCCUCCCGCCCCCCACCCCUCCAGCUCCUGCUCCUCCUCCGCUCCCCACAUACAGACAAGCUCACACCCGCUCCCUCACUCGCACACACAGACACACACGCGCACACACGCUCCGCACACACACUCCACUCUCUCCCGCGCGCUCACACCCCUCUCGCCCUGCGCCCUCGCGGGUGCAGCGCCGCGCACAGCCGGACGCCCCUCCCGGGCUCACCUUGCAACGCUGACAGCGCCGGCGGUGGCCGUGGAGGUGGGAACAGCGGCGGCAUCCUCCCCCCUUGUCGCGGCCGGAGCCAGGACGCCCGCAGAACUCCUCGGCGGCGCUCUCCCAUGAGUCGGGAUCGCAGCAUCUCCUGCCAGCCACUCACCGCCUCUGGGAGCCGCUGGGCUUGUACACGGCAGCCCUUCCGGGACAACAGCUGUGACUCCCCCCAGUGCAGAUUUCGGGACAGCUCUCUAGAAACUCGCUCUAAAGACGGAACCGCCACAGCACUCAAAGCCCACUGCGGAAGAGCGCAGCCCGGCAAGCCCCAGGCCUGAGACUGGACCCUCGGCAGAGCCGGGCAGCACCGCAGCCGCUUCGCCUCGCCGGACGUCCCCCGCUUCUACACUCUCAGCCUCCGCUGGAGAGACCCCCAGCCCCACCAUUCAGCGCGCAAGAUAUCCUCCAGAUAUGCCCUGCGUGCAAGCCCAGUAUAGCCCUUCGCCUCCAGGUUCCAGUUAUGCAGCGCAGACCUACGGCUCAGCGGAAUACACCACCGAGAUCAUGAACCCCGACUACACCAAGCUGACCAUGGACCUCGGCAGCACCGAGAUCACGGCCACGGCCACCACGUCCCUGCCCAGCUUCAGUACCUUCAUGGAGGGCUACUCGAGCAACUACGAACUCAAGCCCUCCUGCCUGUACCAAAUGCCGCCAUCGGGGCCGCGGCCCUUGAUCAAGAUGGAGGAGGGCCGCGCGCACGGCUACCACCAUCACCACCAUCACCACCACCACCACCACCAUCACCAGCAGCAGCAGCAGCAGCCAUCCAUUCCGCCCCCCUCCGGCCCGGAGGACGAGGUGCUGCCCAGCACCUCCAUGUACUUCAAGCAGUCCCCGCCGUCCACCCCGACCACGCCGGGCUUCCCCCCGCAGGCGGGGGCGCUGUGGGACGACGCGCUGCCCUCCGCGCAGGGCUGCCUCGCGCCCGGCCCGCUGCUCGACCCGCCGAUGAAGGCGGUGCCCACGGUGGCCGGCGCGCGCUUCCCGCUCUUCCACUUCAAGACCUCGCCGCCGCACCCGCCUGCGCCCAGCCCGGCCGGCGGCCACCACCUGGCCUACGACCCGACGGCCGCCGCCGCGCUCAGCCUGCCGCUGGGAGCCGCCGCCGCCGCGGGCAGCCAGGCCGCCGCGCUCGAGGGCCACUCGUACGGGCUGCCGCUGCCCAAGAGGGCGGCCGCGCUGGCCUUCUCGCCGCUCGGCCUCACCGCCUCCCCCACCGCGUCCAGCCUGCUGGCCGAGAGCCCCAGCCUGCCGUCGCCGCCCAACAGGAGUUCGUCGUCGGGCGAGGGCACGUGCGCCGUGUGCGGGGACAACGCCGCCUGCCAGCACUACGGCGUGCGCACCUGCGAGGGCUGCAAAGGCUUCUUCAAGAGAACGGUGCAGAAAAAUGCAAAAUAUGUUUGCCUGGCAAAUAAAAACUGCCCUGUAGACAAGAGACGUCGAAACCGAUGUCAGUACUGUCGAUUUCAGAAGUGUCUCAGUGUCGGAAUGGUUAAAGAAGUUGUCCGUACAGAUAGUCUGAAAGGGAGGAGAGGUCGGCUGCCUUCCAAACCAAAGAGCCCGUUACAGCAGGAACCUUCUCAGCCCUCUCCACCGUCUCCUCCGAUCUGCAUGAUGAAUGCCCUUGUCCGAGCUUUAACAGACUCAACGCCCAGAGAUCUCGAUUAUUCCAGAUACUGCCCCACUGACCAGGCCGCUGCCGGCACAGAUGCUGAGCAUGUGCAACAGUUCUACAACCUUCUGACAGCCUCCAUUGAUGUAUCCAGAAGCUGGGCAGAAAAGAUUCCCGGAUUUACUGAUCUCCCCAAAGAAGAUCAGACAUUACUUAUAGAAUCAGCCUUUUUGGAGCUGUUUGUUCUCAGACUUUCCAUCAGGUCGAACACUGCUGAAGAUAAGUUUGUGUUCUGCAAUGGACUUGUCCUGCAUCGACUUCAGUGCCUUCGUGGAUUUGGGGAGUGGCUCGACUCCAUUAAAGACUUUUCCUUAAGUUUGCAGAGCCUGAACCUGGAUAUCCAAGCCUUAGCAUGCCUGUCAGCACUGAGCAUGAUCACAGAACGACAUGGGUUAAAAGAACCAAAGAGAGUGGAGGAGCUAUGCAACAAGAUCACAAGCAGCUUAAAAGACCACCAGAGCAAGGGGCAGGCUUUGGAGCCCACGGAGCCCAAGGUCCUGCGCGCCCUGGUAGAACUGCGGAAGAUAUGCACCCUGGGCCUCCAGCGCAUCUUCUACCUGAAGCUGGAAGACUUGGUGUCUCCACCUUCCAUCAUCGACAAGCUCUUCCUGGACACCCUGCCUUUCUGAGCAGGAGCAGCCUCAUCUGCUAGCACCUGCUUGCUAAGCAGCAGAGGGAUGGGUCUGGACACCUACCAUUUUCUGUCCUUCCUUAAGAGAAAAAGCAGCUCCUGUAGAAAAGAAAGACUUUUUUUUUUUUUUUCUGGCACUUUUCCUUACAAGCUAAAGCCAGAAAACUUGCAGAGUAUUGUGUUGGGGUUGUGUUUUAUAUUUAGGCUUUGGGGUUGGGGUGGGAGGUGGGUAUAGUUCAUGAGGGUUUUCUAAGAAAUUGCUAACAGAGCACUUUUGGACGAUGCUAUCCCAGCAGGAAAAAAAAAAAAUGGAUAAUAUAACUGUUUGAAAAUUCUUUCUGGGGGAUACAAUUAUAGUUGCUUUGUAUUUAAAAACAAGAACAGCCAAGGGUUGUUCGCCAGGGUGGGAUGGUCUUGAGAUGGAUCCCUUUAGCAUACACUUCCUGUAUCAAGGGUACGUAUGUGGUGCAAACAAGGCAGAAAUUCCCUCUUCUUAAUUUCUUUAUUCCUUUUUUAUUUUAACAAAUAGUAAAAGAUGGAGGAUUACCUAUAAAUCAGACAUAGCAAAAUGAUAACGGUUGCUCGCGUCCAUAUACAAGUGCAAUUUUUAAAGUGCUGUCUUACUAAGUCUUGUCUAUGAACUCUCCUUUAUUUUAUAUGGAAAUAAAAAGGAGGCAGUCGUGUUAGCAAAUGACACAUGCGAAUUUUGCCAGCAGAGGCUUUGUCCACCUACCCUGUAGAGCUCUUCCGAGGUAUGGUCCAUCCAAGAUUUUAGGCCUUUCUUGGUAGAUCCGGAUCUCUGCUUUGACUCCCAGCUGUCCUGAACGGGGCUCAGCUUAUAAGAUGGAUUGCAUACCGCUGUUUUAGUUGUGUUCUGUCAAUCCAGUGAGAGUUCCCUAAACUUGCUUCAGUUAUAGCAACUGCCUAACACAUUCGUUCAGAAGCCCCACGAACGUUCAGUGAGUCUCAAGUGUUUGGCCCCCAGAGGAGAACGUGCAAAUAAGUAGGAACUGGAUCAUACAGGGUAAGCACCAGGGAUAAUAAGUUUUUAAAAAUAUAUAUAAUUUAAUUUUUGUUAUUGGUUAAAGAGACAAUUUUGGAGAGCAAGCAAGUCUUAUUAAAAAAAAUAGUAUGAAUGUGAGUACUAGAAAGGAUUAGUGGGCUGCGUUUCAACAUUCCGUGUUCGUUCUCCUUUUGUAUGUUUAUACUGUUAAUGCCAUAUUAUUAUGAGGUAAUUUGUUGCAUAGUGUCCUUAUUUGUAUAAACAUUUGUAUGCACGUUAUAUUGUAAUAGCUUUGCCUGUAUUUAUUGCAAGACCACCAGCUCCUGGAAGCUGAGUUACAGAGUACUUAAAUGGGCGUGUUCACAGUGACUUGGAUACACCAAUUAGAAAUUAAAUAAGCAAAUAUAUCUAUAAAUAUAACAGGUUACAUAUCUAUAUUUAUAAUGUGUCUUUUUCUUAACCAUUUGUACAAUAAAUGUUACUUUCCAUGCAGUUAGUUUAUGGUUCAUUUGCAGUGACUUUUAAGGCAGUACUGUUUAGCACUUUGAUAUUAAAAUUUUGCUUAUGUUUUGCUAAAUUCGAAUAAUGUUUGAAGAUUUUUAGGUCUAAAAGUCUUUAUAUUAUAUACUCUGUAUCAAAUCAAAAUAUCUUUGGCCAUUUUGCUAAGAAACAAACUUUGAAUGUCACACUGAUGUCACAGUAGUUUUUGUUAGCUUUGAGUCAUUUUUGCUUUAGUGUUUUUAAAGGAAAAAUAACAAAACUAUGCUGUUUAUAUUGUCAUUAAAUUAUACAAUCAAACAAAUGCCAAAUGAAUUGCCUAAUUGCUGCAAAGGAUAACCCAGAUAACAAAUCAUAUAUCUUUUUUUUUUCCAAGAGUCGUUCUGAUAUUCGAUCAUGUACUAUGUUUGUAUGAGCUUUUGUGAAAGAUUAUUAUUUUUAUAUCAAGAUAAUAGGAUGUGGAAUGUUAGGAUUUGGGAAUGUUCGACCUAGAAGGGGCCUGACUGGUCAACUAGUCUAUCCUUCUGAAAUUCAUAGAGGAGAAAACUGGGGCCCAGCAAACGGUAAAGAGUUACCCAAGAUCAAACCGCUAGUAACAGGAUCAAAACUAGGACCUCGUUCUCCUUUCCAUAGUCUUUUAUUCAACUUACUGCAUCUAUAGGAAAACAGGCUUUUAAAAAUAACUAUUCGUAUUUACAUUUUACCUGACAACAACCAUGAGUAAAGUGGUACUUUGGCAUUAAUUUUUUGAGCUUAUAUGCAAACAUAAUAAACAUUAUUAAAUAUCAGAAAAGCUAACAUUUCAUACAACGUAGCUUCAGACCAAAUUCAAAUUGAAUUUGAAUAAAUUAGAAAUACUGUGCAUACAUAACCCUUUUGUGCACCAUUAGUAUUGGAAAGUUAAUACUUGUUUUUUUGUCAUGUCUGUAAGGAAAAACAACGAAAAGAAAAAACCAGAGCCCUAGAGAAAUGCUGUUACUUGUUAUUUUCACACCCAUCAGAUUUAAGGAAAAGACUUUUUAGCCGUGCUAUCGAUUGUUUGGAAGGAAUGAAAGUUUUUAGUUAUAGGUCUAGACGCUAGUGCUGAAAAUAAAGAUUAUAGCCAGUGUUCUUCUGUCUUCCAUAGUUACGACAACUAUGAGAGCCUCCCAAGUCAUCUGUCAAUUCAACUCUCUUUUUUGGUCUUAAUGUUGACACACGAGUUUAUGCAGAGUGGAUGACCAGACUAGCUCAGAAGAGGACAGCAAGAAUUCAAGCAGGUGAUUCUUCCUUUGCGGGAGAGCUCUCUUAGUAGGAACAUGCCUUCUGCGGGCGGAAAUCAGGAAUCCACCAGCUGUCAAUGGAGAGUGCCUUGCUUUCAUUUCAGACAGCAGAGUUUCCCAAAGUUUCUCUGCUCCUCUAACAGCAUUGCUCUUUAGUGUGUGUUAACCUGUGGUUUGAAGGAAAUGCUCUUGUACAUUAACAAUGUAAAUUUAAAUGAUUAAAUUAAAUUACAUUUUAUCAAUGGC